rnacentral:rRNA from 1 species
CAGUAGCCGCGGUAAUACAGAGGGUGCGAGCGUUAAUCGGAUUUACUGGGCGUAAAGCGUGCGUAGGCGGCUAAUUGAGUCGGAUGUGAAAUCCCCGAGCUUAACUUGGGAAUUGCAUUCGAUACUGGUUAGCUAGAGUGUGGGAGAGGAUGGUAGAAUUCCAGGUGUAGCGGUGAAAUGCGUAGAGAUCUGGAGGAAUACCGAUGGCGAAGGCGGCCAUCUGGCCUAACACUGACGCUGAGGUACGAAAGCAUGGGGAGCAAACAGGAUUAGAUACCCCCGUAGUCCCUGUCUCUUAUAC